CUAUGUUGCACAGCAUGGUCUCCGACUCCUGGGCUCAAGCGAUCCUCCCGCCUCGGCCUCCCAAAGUGCUGGGGAUCCAAGCUGUGGAACUUUCUUCAGAUUUCCCUGGAGGACUGCAGGUGCACGAGGGUCGUUUCUGGGCCCAGAGUAGGGCAGCUCUCAGAUUGCAGCUCCUGAGAGCCGUGCGCGACCGUCUCCAGCACUCGCGGACCCCCAGAGGGCUGUUUUUUUUUCUCCAUAGCAUUGAUUGAAUAUAUAUCCUUAUACAUUCCAUAUAUAUCUCAGGAAGAAUACACAAGGAAGUGGUACCAGCGGUUGCCUCUGGGGAAAAGUGGGAAGAUUGAGGGUAAAAUUUCCCUUUUCUCGUGUGUAAUUUUUUUUCACUUUCCUAUCUGCAUGGAUUACCUUAAAAAAAUUCAACAUCAGAGAGUACCCAAGUUUGUGGCACAAGCAUGUACUGAGCACCUGCCCUGUGGCAGGCACCGUGAAGUCCCUGGGGUAGAGAGAAUCCAGAGACGGGGUUUCACCAUUUACUUACCUAGACUGUCUCAAACUGCUGGGCUCAAGCGAUGCACCUGCCUUGGGGGAUUCUUAGUAAAUCUACAGGGCUGUGCAACCAUCACCACAAUCCAGUUUUGGAACACUUAAAUCACCUGGAAAAGAUCCCGCCUGUCCAUCUGCAGCCAAUCCUGGCCAUAACUCCCGAAGCCCCAGGCAGAAUGUACCAAGAUUGCAACAUCCUGAGAUAAAGAGGAACAACCCAGGCUCUCUCCACGAUCCUCCUAGAACAGAUGUCCUGCAACACUUGUGAUCAGGACUCCUGAGCCUCUGACAUAUGUCCCAAUUACCCUAUUCUCAGGUCAGGCUGAGGUGGGGCAUGUGCCUGGAUCCAUCGAACAGUGAUUGAUUGGAAGCAACUGAUGUUAUUUCUCCAGUAGUGCUUGGAAGCUUAUGGUUUUCCUCUGGCAACCAACACCAUGUUCAUUAAUAAACCAGUAAUAGGCUUCUUCUCUGUGGAGUUUCUCUUGCUGCCAUCUUGGUUCAUUUUCACGAAUGAUUAUGGUAUUUACAGUAGGCAGAAUACUGUCCCCCCACCAUGUCCACAACCUAAUCCCCAGCACAUGUGAAUAUGUUACUUUUUGUGGCAAAUGGACUUUGCAGAUGUAAUUAAGUUAACAAUUUUAAAUGGAGAGAUUAUUUUGGUUUAGCCACAUGGAUCCAGUAUAAUCACAAAGAUUCUUCUAGAGUGAAAGAGGGAAGCAGGAGAGCCAGGGAAGAUGUAACAAUGGAAGCAGGAGUCAGAGAACUGUGCCUGCUGGAUUUGACAAGGAAGAGGGAUGCAAGACCAGGAACGCAGGCAGCCUCUAGAAGCUGGAAAAAGCAAAGAAAUGGAUUCUCCCGUGAACCACCAGAAGGAACUCAGCUUUGCUUUUAUUUUUAGCCCAAUAAGACUCAUUUCAGGUAUCUUUCUCCUGGAACUGUGAGAUAAUAAAGUUAAGCCACUGAGUUCAUGGUAAUAUGUUACAGCAGCAUUAAGAAAUGAACAGUCUUGUUCUUGUUAUGAGCUUUGUUUACUAUCUUAACCUGUGCUAGAUGUAGAUUGACUCAUGCUGAAACACCCUGGCUCUCACAUUGCUUUCCAUGUGUUGGAAGAGGGUCUCCGCCUUCCAUUGUUGGUGCUUUUGUGAAGUGCUGCUCACAGGAAGCAACAGGAGAGGGUUGAGUUCUUCAGACUGGGUUGCCUGUGAAGCCCGGGUGCUGCUGCUUCUCUCCCACCGCUGCUGCAAAGUUGAGGACAUGCUCCAGGGUUUUUUUUUUGUUAGGAGUUCUCGACUGUCCAGGAAUUAGUGAGAGAGGAGCCAGGAGCCUGGCUGCCGUGCUGCGUGGUCCAUCCAGGUGGAAGGGAAGGCUAUGGAGGAGAGCCAGACUCCUGCUCUUUGUUUUGGUCAGUUCAGAAGUCACUUAACCAAUAAGUCCUUUCAGGGAAGGAAUUCACUCUACCACUACAGAAUAGUUUUGCUUCACAUGUUUUCUUGACACAGAAAUUUGUAGAACCACAGCCUCUUUCUUUUCUUUUCUUUUUCU
rnacentral:lncRNA from 1 species